rnacentral:rRNA from 1 species
AACGAACGCUGGCGGCAUGCCUAACACAUGCAAGUCGAACGAGACCUUCUGGUCUAGUGGCGCACUGGUUCGUAACGCCUGAGAGCCUGCCCUUAGGUUCUGAAUCACUCCCCGAAAGGGGUGCUAAUGCCGGAUACUAUCUUCGGUCCAACGAUUUAUCUCCUUUUGAUGUGCCCGCGUUGGAUUAGCUAGUUGGUAGAGUAAAAGGCUAGCAAGGAGACGAUCCAUAGCUGGGUUGAGAGGAUGACCAGCCACACUGGGACUGAGACAAGGCCCAGACUCUUACGGGAGGAAGAAGUGGGGAAUAAUGGACAACGGGCGAGAGACUGAUCCAGUAAGGCCGCGUGAGUGAGGAAGGCCUGAGGGUUGUAAAGCUCGUUUACACGGGAAGAUAAUGACAGUACCGGGAGAAUAAGCCCCGGCUAACUACGUG